ACGUAGGUGGCAAUCGUUGUCCGAAUUUAUUGGGCGUAAAGGGAGCGCAGGCGGUUUUUUAAGUCUGAAUGUGAAAGCCCUCAUCUUAACUGAAGAAGAGCAUCAGAAACUGGAAGACUUGAGUGCAGAAGAGGAGAGUGGAACUCCAUGUGUAGCGGUGAAAUGCGUAGAUAUAUGGAAGAACACCAGUGGCGAAGGCGGCUCUCUGGUCUGUUACUGACGCUGAGGCUCGAAAGCAUGGGUAGCGAACAGG
rnacentral:rRNA from 1 species